CUACGGGUCGCUGCAGUGGGGAAUAUUGGACAAUGGGGGAAACCCUGAUCCAGCAAUGCCGCGUGUGUGAAGAAGGCCUGCGGGUUGUAAAGCACUUUCGGUUGGGAGGACUGCUUCUAGCACUAAUAUUGUUGGAAGUUGACGUUACCUUCAGAAGAAGCACCGGCUACUCCGUGCCAGCAGCCGCGGUAAUACGGAGGGUGCGAGCGUUAAUCGGAAGUACUGGGCGUAAAGCGCGCGUAGGCGGCUAGAUCAGUCGGGUGUGAAAGCCCCGGGCUUAACCUGGGAACUGCAUCCGAUACUGUCUAGCUUGAGUACAGGAGAGGAGAGUGGAAUUCCACAUGUAGCGGUGAAAUGCGUAGAUAUGUGGAGGAACACCAAUGGCGAAGGCAGCUCUCUGGCCUGAUACUGACGCUGAGGUGCGAAAGCGUGGGGAGCAAACAGGAUUAGAUACCCCCGUAGUC
rnacentral:rRNA from 1 species